GCAAGUCGAGCGAAAGAUAAAGAGCUUGCUCCUUUGACGUUAGCGGCGGACCCUUUAGUAACACGUGGAUAACCUACCUAUAAGACUGGAAUAACUUCGGGAAACCGGAGCUAAUACUGGAUAACAUAUUGAACCGCAUGGUUCAAUAGUGAAAGGCGGCUUUGCUGUCACUUAUAGAUGGAUCCGCGCCGUAUUAGCUAGUUGGGAAGGUGACGGCUUACCAAGGCAACGAUACGUAACCGACCUGAGAGGGUGAUCGGCCACACUGGAACUGACACACGGUCCAGACUCCUACGGGAGGCAACAAUAGGGAAUCUUCCGCAAUGGGCAAAAGCCUGACGGAGCAGCGCCGCGAGAGUGAUGAAGGUCUUCGGAUCGUAAAACUCUGUUAUCAAGGAAGAACAAAUGUGUAAGUAACUGUGCACAUCUUGACGGAACCUGAUCAGAAAGCCACGGCUAACUACGUGCCAGCAGCCGCGAUAAUACGUACGUGGCAAGCGUUAUCCGGAAUUAUUGGGCGUAAAGCGCGCGUAUGCGGUUUUUUAAGUCUGAUGUGAAAGCCCACGGCUCAACCGUGGAGGGUCAUUGGAAACUGGAAAACUUGAAUGCAAAAGAAGAAAGUGGAAUUCCAUGUGUAGCGGUGAAAUGCGCAGAGAUAUGGAGGAACACCAGUGACGAACGCGACUUUCUGGUCUGUAACUGACGCUGAUGUGCGAAAGCGUGCGGAUCAAACAGGAUUAGAUACCCUGGUAGUCCACGCCGUAUACGAUGAGUGCUAAGUGUUAGGGGGUUUCCCCCCCUUACUGCUGCAGCUAACGCAUUAAACACUCCGCCUGGGCAGUACGACCGC
rnacentral:rRNA from 1 species